rnacentral:tRNA from 1 species
GUGGCCGAAUGGUUACGCUGUCCGCUUUGUAAGCGGAUGAUUAUGGGUUCGAUUCCCAUC